rfam:Dipodomys ordii contig_16405, whole genome shotgun sequence.
GGGAAGGUGGCUCAGUUGGUAGAGCGCUUGCCUUGCAUGCAUGAGGCCCUGGGUUUGAUUCCCUAGCAUCACA